AACGAACGCUGGCGGCAUGCCUAACACAUGCAAGUCGAACGAGACCUUCGCGUCUAGUGGCGCACGGGUGCGUAACGCGUGGGAACCUGCCCUUAGGUUCGGAAUAACUCCCCGAAAGGGGUGCUAAUACCGGAUAAUGUCUUCGGACCAAAGAUUUAUCGCCUUUGGAUGGGCCCGCGUUGGAUUAGCUAGUUGGUAGGGUAAAAGCCUACCAAGGCGACGAUCCAUAGCUGGUCUGAGAGGAUGAUCAGCCACACUGGGACUGAGACACGGCCCAGACUCCUACGGGAAGCAGCAGUGGGGAAUAUUGGACAAUGGGCGAAAGCCUGAUCCAGCAAUGCCGCGUGAGUGAUGAAGGCCUUAGGGUUGUAAAGCUCUUUUACCCGGGAUGAUAAUGACAGUACCGGGAGAAUAAGCUCCGGCUAACUCCGUG
rnacentral:rRNA from 1 species